rnacentral:rRNA from 1 species
UACAGAGGGUGCGAGCGUUAAUCGGAAUUACUGGGCGUAAAGCGCACGUAGGCGGCUUGGUAUGUCGGGUGUGAAAAUCCCCGGGCUCAACCUGGGAACUGCAUCCGAAACUGCCUUGCUCGAGUAUGGGAGAGGGAAGUGGAAUUUCCGGUGUAGCGGUGAAAUGCGUAGAUAUCGAGAGGAAUACCAACGGCGAAGGCAGCACUCUGGGCAGUUUCUGACACUGAGGCACGAAGGCUAGGGGAGCAAACGGG